AAGACAAUCAAUCAGAUCCAGUUUUUCAGAACAUUAAAGGCAUUGACAAAGCAGACCCAACAACAGAUUUUAAUGCUAGUUUUUUUUUUAAGGCUCACUCACAUUUACUUGUGGUUCUGGUGAUCAUGUGGCUCCAGCAUCUUCCCCCUCUCAAAACAAUGGCUGCAGAGGCCUGGGUCCUUGGUAUGUGUUAUCUCUGGAUUUGCUGUCUUAUCAGUUCCUUGCUCUUGAAUAAAUAAUUCUUCUCUGGUGCAUUCCUUUAUUCCAAUUUGGAUUUAGUACCAUCCAAAUGACAAA